rnacentral:rRNA from 1 species
UACGGAGGGUGCAAGCGUUAUCCGGAUUCACUGGGUUUAAAGGGUGCGUAGGUGGGCAGGUAAGUCAGUGGUGAAAUCUCUGGGCUUAACCCAGAAACUGCCGUUGAUACUAUCUGUCUUGAAUAUAGUGGAGGUGAGCGGAAUAUGUCAUGUAGCGGUGAAAUGCUUAGAUAUGACAUAGAACACCCAUUGCGAAGGCGGCUUGCUACACUGUUAUUGACACUGAGGCACGAAAGCGUGGGGAUCAAACAGG